UUGAACGCUGGCGGCAUGCCUUACACAUGCAAGUCGCACGGCAGCACGGGUGCUUGCACCUGGUGGCGAGUGGCGAACGGGUGAGUAAUACAUCGGAACAUGUCCUGUAGUGGGGGAUAGCCCGGCGAAAGCCGGAUUAAUACCGCAUACGAUCUACGGAUGAAAGCGGGGGACCUUCGGGCCUCGCGCUAUAGGGUUGGCCGAUGGCUGAUUAGCUAGUUGGUGGGGUAAAGGCCUACCAAGGCGACGAUCAGUAGCUGGUCUGAGAGGACGACCAGCCACACUGGGACUGAGACACGGCCCAGACUCCUACGGGAGGCAGCAGUGGGGAAUUUUGGACAAAGGGCGAAAGCCUGAUCCAGCAAUGCCGCGUGUGUGAAGAAGGCCUUCGGGUUGUAAAGCACUUUUGUCCGGAAAGAAAUCCUUGGCCCUAAUACGGUCGGGGGAUGACGGUACCGGAAGAAUAAGCACCGGCUAACUACGUG
rnacentral:rRNA from 1 species